ACACACAUUAGCCUAAAGGCAAGGUGGGGUCCCUUGACCCACUUGUCUUAUAACAUUUGAGCAAGGUUCCCGAGAGAGCGAUCUCAAGUCUCGGGUUUCCUUAAAACUCGAGACGCAUCCUGUCAGAUCACCUAGAUCCGGAGGGCAAGAUUAAGGCACCUAACCACAUAGAUCUUUCAAAUGGCGGUAGUUUGAAAGAAAAUGGACUUCGUUUGGUUAGUCAAAACCAGUGGCAACAAUAGUGACAGUACAAAUAUUCAGGGAGAACAGCCAACAGUGGCAUACUUAUAUAUUUUGGAACAUAACUUCACUUUUGUAAGGAGUUACAGUAAUGGGCAAACAUGAACAUUUUACUAGACUACCAUAUCUUUCUAAUGGAAGUGAUUUGAGGUCAAUUGGACCUCAUUUGACUGUUCAAAAGCCUCUUACAAAAACAUGUAUGUUCCUAGAAUUUCACAGUAACACUUUACAUGCCUCAAGAACAUGUUCCAUAACCUUUAAUUCUUAGUGAAUAACAUCAUAAUAAAUGUUCCUUCACAAUAUGCACACAUAAACAUACAUUUUUUAUAGAAUUUGUAAGACACACAUUCAUUUAUCAGCACCAAAACUCAUCAUAGAGCAAAGGCACCAAUUUCAGUGAAACAAGGCAUAGGAAUCACUACAAUGCAUUCACUUUUUAUUACUCAUCUUAUAGACAAUCAUUCCAUACAUUCACUUUUUAUUACUCAUCUUUAGACAAUCAUUUUCAUGUAUUCUCAUGGCAGUAGUCCAAUGGUGGUGGACCCACUUACCUAUUAUGCAAAGAUGCUUUCAAAAAUCCUCUUUAACAAUCUCCUUCCAGCUCCUAACAAGGCUCCAGCAAUUGAGUAACAGUGAGCUUACAAUGGCUCUUAGAGAGAGAGAGAGAGAGAGAGUGUGUGUGUGUGAAAACUCUUAAGAAGAGUGUUUGAAGGGGUAUUUAUAAGCAAGAAAGGGGAGAGGGGAAGCAUGCAUAAGCCAAGUGGCAACAAGGGUUACAAGUGUUGUGUGUGUGGUGUUCAAGUGACUGUCAGAGGCCUACAAGUGCCUGACAUGUGUCAAAUGGCAAUAGACAGAUAGAUUUACACAAACGACUUUACACAGACAGCUUUACACAGAUGGAUUUACACAGACGGCUUUACACAGACAACUUUACAAAGACGGCUUUGUGCAGACGGCUUUACACAGAUGGCUUUACACAGAUGGAUGGCGUUACACAGAUGGUUAUAUACAGUUGGCUUUACACCAACAACUUUACACAGAUGCCUUUACACCAACAACUUUACCCAGAUGGCUUUACACAGACGACUUUACACAAAUGGCUUUACACAAAUGGCUUUACAACAGACAGAUUUACACAGACGACUUUAAAACAGAUAGCUUUACACAAACGACUUUAUAAACAGCUUUACACAGAUGGCUUUACAUUGAUGGCUUUACACAGACAACUUUACCCAGACGGCUUUACAUAGACGGCUUUACACAAAUGGAUUUAACACUUCUCUUCUCCUCUUCCAUUGGCUUUUUACUGUCGUGCAAGCCUUUCUAACUAAGAAAUGUUUCGAUCUUUACAUGUUCCUUGAAGGAUAGGGAAUGCCAAAUAGGGGCACCUGUAGACACCCCAUUUUAAAACUGAUAAAUUUUAUGAUUUUUCAAAACUUAGAGGACCACACUAUUUCAGUAGACCCCUAAACCAUUGACCGCCAUAAUUCAUGAUUCCCAUCUUAUGAUCUAGUAUCCUCUCAAAUAUUAUAGUUUUUAAUAGUUAUCCAUUCUACACCCAUGUUUUUAGUAAUUAUCCAUUCUACACCUAGCAAAUCUUGUAGUUUUUAACAGUUAUCCAUUCUACACCCAUGUUUUUAGUCGUUAUUCACGCAUCUUUUGAGUCUAUAAAAAAAUACUAACGUGCCUCUUGU
rnacentral:rRNA from 1 species